CAAGUCGAGGGGCAGCAUGGGGGAGUAGCAAUACUCUCUGAUGGCGACCGGCGCAAGGGUGCGUAACGCGUGAGCAACUUGCCCUCAUCAGGGGAAUAAUCGCUGGAAACGGCGUCUAAUGCCCCAUGGUGAUGUCCUCAGGCAUCUGAGGUCAUCUAAAGAUCCGUCGGAUGGGGAUAGGCUCGCGUGACAUUAGCUAGACGGCGGGGUAACGGCCCACCGUGGCGACGAUGUCUAGGGGUUCUGAGAGGAAGGUCCCCCACACUGGAACUGAGACACGGUCCAGACUCCUACGGGAGGCAGCAGUGAGGAAUAUUGGUCAAUGGACGCAAGUCUGAACCAGCCAAGUAGCGUGCAGGAUGACGGCCCUCCGGGUUGUAAACUGCUUUUAGUUGGGAAUAAAAGGGGGCUCGUGAGCCCCGUAUUGUAUGUACCAUCAGAAAAAGGACCGGCUAAUUCCGUGCCAGCAGCCGCGGUAAUACGGAAGGUCCGGGCGUUAUCCGGAUUUAUUGGGUUUAAAGGGAGCGUAGGCCGGCUUUUAAGUCAGCUGUGAAAGUCCGCGGCUCAACCGUGGAAUUGCAGUUGAAACUGGAGGCCUUGAGUGCACACAGGGAUGCCGGAAUUCAUGGUGUAGCGGUGAAAUGCUUAGAUAUCAUGAAGAACUCCGAUCGCGAAGGCAAGUGUCCGGGGUGCAACUGACGCUGAGGCUCGAAAGUGCGGGUAUCAAACAGGAUUAGAUACCCUGGUAGUCCGCACCGUAAACGAUGAAUACUCGUGUCCCGCGAUAUAUUGUGGGACACUUAGCGAAAGCGUUAAGUAUUCCACCUGGGGAGUACGCC
rnacentral:rRNA from 1 species